rnacentral:rRNA from 1 species
CGGUAAUACGGAGGGUGCGAGCGUUGUUCGGAAUUAUUGGGCGUAAAGCGCGUGUAGGCGGUUGCUUAAGUCUGAUGUGAAAGCCCUGGGCUCAACCCGGGAAGUGCAUUGGAAACUGGGCAACUUGAGUACGGGAGAGGAUAGUGGAAUUCCGAGUGUAGGGGUGAAAUCCGUAGAUAUUCGGAGGAACACCGGUGGCGAAGGCGGCUAUCUGGACCGAUACUGACGCUGAGACGUGAAAACGUGGGGAGCAAACAGGAUUAGAUACCCUGGUAGUCCACGCCGUAAACGAUGGGUACUAGGUGUUGCGGGUAUUGACCCCCGCAGUGCCGAAGCUAACGCAUUAAAUACCCCGCCUGGGGAGUACGGUCGCAAGACUAAA